rnacentral:rRNA from 1 species
GACGAACGCUGGCGGCGUGCUUAACACAUGCAAGUCGAACGGAAAGGCCCUGCUUUUGUGGGGUGCUCGAGUGGCGCACGGGUGAGUAACACGUGAGUAACCUGCCCUUAACUUUGGGAUAACUUCAGGAAACUGGGGCUAAUACCGGAUAGGAGCUCCUGCUGCAUGGUGGUGGAUGGAAAGAUUCGGCGGUUGGGGAUGGACUCGCGGCUUAUCGGCUUGUUUGUGGGGUAGUGGCUUACCAAGGCUUUGACGGGUAGCCGGCCUGGGAGGGUUACCGGCCACAUUGGGACUGAGAGACGGCCCAGACUCCUACGGGACGCAGCAGUGGGGAAUAUUGCAGAAUGGGCGGACGCCUGAUGCAGCAACGCCGCGUGCGGGAUGCUGUCUUUCGGGUUGUAAACCGCUUUCGCCGGUGACGAAGCGUGAGUGACGGUAAUGGGUAAAGAAGCACCGGCUAACUACGUG